CUUAUGUUAGUUAGUGACACAUGUCCACUAUAUUAUUAUUAUUUUUUUUUCUAACUUAAAUCUGAAUCUUUCAUAAAUUAUAUCAAACUUCUAAUAUUUACUCUUAGGUCCCUAGCCAUAAACCUUUAAUAUAAUAUCAUUUAAUAUAAAAUAAUUAUUAAAUAAUCCUUAUUUUUACAAACAAACCUUUUACUAAAUUUUUAAAAAUGGG
rnacentral:lncRNA from 1 species